rnacentral:lncRNA from 1 species
CGGUGGGCGUUAAGACUUUGGUUUAUCAUUGAUUAUCUCCCCUGCGCAGUUUUUGUCCUUGACUUUGUUUAUUUCAAAACAGAUCCAACACACAUUUAAUUCGCUAUCUCGUCUAAGUGAAUUCAAAACUUUUCAAAAAUGGCCUUCAGAGUUCUCAGGUUAGGCAAAAUGCUAUCCCAUUCUGGUGGCAUGAGCAGAUGUUUGACAACAGUAAGUACUACAGU